rnacentral:rRNA from 1 species
CGUCCUAUUAGCUAGUUGGUGAGGUAAUGGCUCACCAAGGCUACGAUGGGUAGGGGUUCCUAGUGGAAGGUCCCCCACACUGGCACUGAGAUACGGGCCAGACUCCUACGGGAGGCAGCAGUAGGGAAUAUUGGUCAAUGGGCGCAAGCCUGAACCAGCCAUGCCGCGUGCAGGGUGAAGGCUCUCUGAGUUGUAAACUGCUUUUGUACAGGAGCAAAAAAAUCCCUGCGGGGGUUCUUGAGAGUACUGUAAGAAUAAGCACCGGCUAAUUCCGUGCCAGCAGCCGCGGUAAUACGGGAGGUGCAAGCGUUAUCCGGUUUUAUUGGGUUUAAAGGGUGCGUAGGCGGCUUAUUAAGUCAGUUGUGAAAUCCUAGUGCUUAACGCUAGAACUGCAAUUGAUACUAUU